rnacentral:lncRNA from 1 species
AUAGCUUUUUUUGGAUGCAAUUGCAAAUAGAAAAUAAUUUGGUUAAUUUCAUGUCGGUCCCUGCAAAUACAGUGAAUACCAAAUAUAUCUCUAUAAAGUUUAAUUUUUACAUGUUGUUUCUGUAAAAAUCAUAAUAUUUUUAAAUAUAUCCAUACGGUUGGAAUCCGUUAGAAAAAUUUAGUCAACCAUAGAUUAAAUACUUAACAUGAUUAGUUUUUGACAUUUUUACCCCUCUAAUAUUAUGCUAUUAUGAUUUCUGGAGAAAUAUAUUUGUAAUAGAAAAAUUAAAAAUAUAAUCAGUUCUCUAACGAUUCUCUAACGAAGUAGAAAACCAAAGAAACAUAUUUAAAAACAUAGGACUUUUACAGGAACAAUAUAUAAAAGUUGAACUUUAUAUGAAUAUAUUUGUCAUUAACUAUAUUUAUAAAGACAUGUAUGAAAUUAAUCUUUACAAAUAAUUUAUUGCACUGUUGAAAAGUGCAUUUGUAAAAUUUUAUUAGUCUAUAUAUAGAGCAAUGAGAUUAUUCCUAAUAUAUAUAAAAAAGAAAAUAUUGCUUAAAAGAUUUUUUUUUUUUUAGAAAUAAAUAACACGCUAACCGCUUUAUUUUAUUUCAUUUAGAAAUAAACUUAACUAAAAAUAUGAAUUAAGUAAGAUAUGCUUACCUAUUAUUCAAAACUGCUAUCUUCAAUUGUUGCAUGUGGGACUUCGUUGAACGAACCGAACUCCUUCGUAUACGUGAGGAGUCCAUUGAUUCAAAGGGGCUGGAAAAGUUUCAACCCAAUGACUAUAAGCGCAAUUAAAAUUCUUCGGUAAAAUUGCUACUUAUUUUUAAGGUGUAGAUCUAAUUAUACCAGUUAGAUUUUCUUAUGCAAUUCUAACUGUAGCACUUUAAUUCAAAUGAAUCAAGCCGCAUAACGAAUCUGAUUUUGUAUGUAGUUAUUAUUGUAAUAUAGUUAUAACUACAUGCAGCCAGCCAAAUAGCUCCUAGAACGCGUUUUGUUUAAGUUAUGUAAUAUUACAGAGUAUUUCGAUAUAUCCAGAUAUCUUGAAUUUCUAAAAGAGAUUACUAAUUAUGCUACAUUAGCGCGUUUGGUUUAAUACAGUAAUAUAAUGCUGAAUUGCAGUGUUUAUAGCAUUAAUAUGUUUGGUUCUGUAUAUAAAAUUUUAAAUUUUAAAUUUUAAAUUUAAAAAUUAAAAUUUUAAAAUUAAAUUUUAAAAUCUAAAAUUUAAAUUCAAAUUUAAAAUUUUGAAGUUUAAAAAUUUAAAAUUUAAAGUUUAAAAAUUUAAAAUGUAAAAGUUGACAAUUCAAAAUUUUAAAUUAAAUUUUUUAAAAUGACGUAUUGAAAGGGUUUCAGAAGUUAGAGUGGUAAAAUUGUCAUUUUACAUAAUAUGUAGUAUUACCGGUUUUCAGUAAUGCAAGAUACACGGCCCCCCUCUCGUUAAUAUUUUCGAUGUAAUCGAUUUGUAAUGCUAUAUUAACACCGAUUUAUAAUGCUAUAUUAACGACUAGAUUACAUAGCGGAUGAACCAAACACAGUAAUCCUGACAGAAUUGCCUGUAAUCCUGCGAAGAUAACUCGAGCCAAACGCGCCCCUAAUGGUAUUUGUUUCCCCAAAAAUACAGAGGUUAUUUUUUUUUUACCAUAAAUUAAAUUCACUCAUAUUUUUAAAUUUUAAAAAUAUAAAAUUAUAAAAUAAUAAGUAUUAUGAUUUUUAAAAAAUUUUAUAUGACAAUAUAAAAUUUUUUAGUAAAUAAUAGAAGAAAA